GGCGAACGCUGGCGGCGGGCUUAACACAUGCAAGUCGAACGGAAAGGCCCUGCUUUUUUGGGGUUCUCGAGUGGCGAACGGGUGAGUAACACGUGAGUAACCUGCCCUUCACUUUGGGAUGACUUCAGGAAACUGGGGCUAAUACCGGAUAGCAGCUCCUGUUGCAUGGUGGGGGUUGGAAAGUUUGGGCUGGUGGGGAUGGACUCGCGGCUUAUCAGCUUGUUGGUGGGGUAGUGGCUUACCAAGGCUUUGACGGGUAGCCGGCCUGAGAGGGUGACCGGCCACAUUGGGACUGAGAUACGGCCCAGACUCGUACGGGAGGCAGCAGUGGGAAGUAUUGCACAAUGGGCGGAAGCCUGAUGCAGAAGCGCCGCGUGCGGGAAGACGGCCUUCGGGUUGUAAACCGCUUUCGCCUGUGACGAAGCGUGAGUGACGGUAAUGGGUAAAGAAGCACCGGCUAACUACGUG
rnacentral:rRNA from 1 species